rnacentral:rRNA from 3 species
AGCGUACACGGUGGAUGCCCUGGCAGUCAGAGGCGAUGAAGGACGUGCUAAUCUGCGAUAAGCGUCGGUAAGGUGAUAUGAACCGUUAUAACCGGCGAUUUCCGAAUGGGGAAACCCAGUGUGUUUCGACACACUAUCAUUAACUGAAUCCAUAGGUUAAUGAGGCGAACCGGGGGAACUGAAACAUCUAAGUACCCCGAGGAAAAGAAAUCAACCGAGAUUCCCCCAGUAGCGGCGAGCGAACGGGGAGCAGCCCAGAGCCUGAAUCAGUGUGUGUGUUAGUGGAAGCGUCUGGAAAGGCGCGCGAUACAGGGUGACAGCCCCGUACACAAAAAUGCACAUGCUGUGAGCUCGAUGAGUAGGGCGGGACACGUGGUAUCCUGUCUGAAUAUGGGGGGACCAUCCUCCAAGGCUAAAUACUCCUGACUGACCGAUAGUGAACCAGUACCGUGAGGGAAAGGCGAAAAGAACCCCGGCGAGGGGAGUGAAAAAGAACCUGAAACCGUGUACGUACAAGCAGUGGGAGCCUCUUUUAUGGGGUGACUGCGUACCUUUUGUAUAAUGGGUCAGCGACUUAUAUUCUGUAGCAAGGUUAACCGAAUAGGGGAGCCGAAGGGAAACCGAGUCUUAACUGGGCGUUAAGUUGCAGGGUAUAGACCCGAAACCCGGUGAUCUAGCCAUGGGCAGGUUGAAGGUUGGGUAACACUAACUGGAGGACCGAACCGACUAAUGUUGAAAAAUUAGCGGAUGACUUGUGGCUGGGGGUGAAAGGCCAAUCAAACCGGGAGAUAGCUGGUUCUCCCCGAAAGCUAUUUAGGUAGCGCCUCGUGAAUUCAUCUCCGGGGGUAGAGCACUGUUUCGGCAAGGGGGUCAUCCCGACUUACCAACCCGAUGCAAACUGCGAAUACCGGAGAAUGUUAUCACGGGAGACACACGGCGGGUGCUAACGUCCGUCGUGAAGAGGGAAACAACCCAGACCGCCAGCUAAGGUCCCAAAGUCAUGGUUAAGUGGGAAACGAUGUGGGAAGGCCCAGACAGCCAGGAUGUUGGCUUAGAAGCAGCCAUCAUUUAAAGAAAGCGUAAUAGCUCACUGGUCGAGUCGGCCUGCGCGGAAGAUGUAACGGGGCUAAACCAUGCACCGAAGCUGCGGCAGCGACGCUUAUGCGUUGUUGGGUAGGGGAGCGUUCUGUAAGCCUGUGAAGGUGUGCUGUGAGGCAUGCUGGAGGUAUCAGAAGUGCGAAUGCUGACAUAAGUAACGAUAAAGCGGGUGAAAAGCCCGCUCGCCGGAAGACCAAGGGUUCCUGUCCAACGUUAAUCGGGGCAGGGUGAGUCGACCCCUAAGGCGAGGCCGAAAGGCGUAGUCGAUGGGAAACAGGUUAAUAUUCCUGUACUUGGUGUUACUGCGAAGGGGGGACGGAGAAGGCUAUGUUGGCCGGGCGACGGUUGUCCCGGUUUAAGCGUGUAGGCUGGUUUUCCAGGCAAAUCCGGAAAAUCAAGGCUGAGGCGUGAUGACGAGGCACUACGGUGCUGAAGCAACAAAUGCCCUGCUUCCAGGAAAAGCCUCUAAGCAUCAGGUAACAUCAAAUCGUACCCCAAACCGACACAGGUGGUCAGGUAGAGAAUACCAAGGCGCUUGAGAGAACUCGGGUGAAGGAACUAGGCAAAAUGGUGCCGUAACUUCGGGAGAAGGCACGCUGAUAUGUAGGUGAAGCGACUUGCUCGUGGAGCUGAAAUCAGUCGAAGAUACCAGCUGGCUGCAACUGUUUAUUAAAAACACAGCACUGUGCAAACACGAAAGUGGACGUAUACGGUGUGACGCCUGCCCGGUGCCGGAAGGUUAAUUGAUGGGGUCAGCGCAAGCGAAGCUCUUGAUCGAAGCCCCGGUAAACGGCGGCCGUAACUAUAACGGUCCUAAGGUAGCGAAAUUCCUUGUCGGGUAAGUUCCGACCUGCACGAAUGGCGUAAUGAUGGCCAGGCUGUCUCCACCCGAGACUCAGUGAAAUUGAACUCGCUGUGAAGAUGCAGUGUACCCGCGGCAAGACGGAAAGACCCCGUGAACCUUUACUAUAGCUUGACACUGAACAUUGAGCCUUGAUGUGUAGGAUAGGUGGGAGGCUUUGAAGUGUGGACGCCAGUCUGCAUGGAGCCGACCUUGAAAUACCACCCUUUAAUGUUUGAUGUUCUAACGUUGACCCGUAAUCCGGGUUGCGGACAGUGUCUGGUGGGUAGUUUGACUGGGGCGGUCUCCUCCUAAAGAGUAACGGAGGAGCACGAAGGUUGGCUAAUCCUGGUCGGACAUCAGGAGGUUAGUGCAAUGGCAUAAGCCAGCUUGACUGCGAGCGUGACGGCGCGAGCAGGUGCGAAAGCAGGUCAUAGUGAUCCGGUGGUUCUGAAUGGAAGGGCCAUCGCUCAACGGAUAAAAGGUACUCCGGGGAUAACAGGCUGAUACCGCCCAAGAGUUCAUAUCGACGGCGGUGUUUGGCACCUCGAUGUCGGCUCAUCACAUCCUGGGGCUGAAGUAGGUCCCAAGGGUAUGGCUGUUCGCCAUUUAAAGUGGUACGCGAGCUGGGUUUAGAACGUCGUGAGACAGUUCGGUCCCUAUCUGCCGUGGGCGCUGGAGAACUGAGGGGGGCUGCUCCUAGUACGAGAGGACCGGAGUGGACGCAUCACUGGUGUUCGGGUUGUCAUGCCAAUGGCACUGCCCGGUAGCUAAAUGCGGAAGAGAUAAGUGCUGAAAGCAUCUAAGCACGAAACUUGCCCCGAGAUGAGUUCUCCCUGACUCCUUGA